UACGUAGGCAGCAAGCGUUGUUCGGAGUUACUGGGCGUAAAGCGUGCGCAGGCGGUGAUGUAAGACAGAUGUGAAAUCCCCGGGCUCAACCUGGGAACUGCAUUUGUGACUGCAUCGCUGGAGUGCGGCAGAGGGGGAUGGAAUUCCGCGUGUAGCAGUGAAAUGCGUAGAUAUGCGGAGGAACACCGAUGGCGAAGGCACGUUUCUAGGUACAACUGACACUCGCGUACUAAAGCUUGGGGAUCGAACGGG
rnacentral:rRNA from 1 species